CCCGCAACGAGCGCAACCCUUGUCAUUAGUUGCUACGAAAGAGCACUCUAAUGAGACUGCCGGUGACAAACCGGAGGAAGGUGGGGAUGACGUCAAGUCCUCAUGGCCCUUAUGGGUAGGGCUUCACACGUCAUACAAUGGUACAUACAGAGGGCCGCCAACCCGCGAGGGGGAGCUAAUCCCAGAAAGUGUAUCGUAGUCCGGAUUGUAGUCUGCAACUCGACUGCAUGAAGUUGGAAUCGCUAGUAAUCGCGGAUCAGCAUGUCGCGGUGAAUACG
rnacentral:rRNA from 1 species